UAUGUCUCGAUUUGAUUCUGGUGCUGCCUU
rnacentral:piRNA from 1 species